AACGGCAGUGCAGCUGGCCACGGAGGAAUAUUCAGAUGAUUCUUCCGAGGAAAGUCCGGACUCCAUGGAGCACGGUUCCCACUAGAACAGCGGGGUGCGCGGCGCGAAAGCGCAGCGUAAAGGAUAGUGCCACAGAAAACAGACCGCUCCGUGUAUGAUAUUUUCAUGACGGAGUAAGGGUGAAAAGGCGGGGUAAGAGCCCACCGCGUGAAGCGCAAGCGACACGGCACGGAAAACCCAACCGGGAGCAAGGUCAAAUAGGGGGCAGAUCUCUUUGCGCAAGCAAAGGGGCAGGGAUGCUUCAUCUCUUAAGCUCCGGGUAGACCGCUAAGAUUAAUGGCUGGCACCCCGGCAACGGGGACACAGAAUCCGGCUUACACUGCCGUUUUAA
rnacentral:RNase_P_RNA from 1 species